rnacentral:tRNA from 1 species
GCUCCGGUAGUGUAAUAGAUCAGCACGGCAGACUGGUUAUCUGUAAGUGUGAAUUCGAGUCCUACCUGAGGUU